AAGCGAGCGGACUGGCCACAGAUCAUACUAAGGAUGUUGGACUUCAUCCUGUGGUGUUACUGGAACCAUAAAGACUCUGGAAACAAAGACUCAUGGCAUGGUCAGAUCUGCACUUAGGAGCAGAGUGGAGGAAGGAUUUAUGGCUGCAAAAACAGUAGGAAGGUCAGCUUGAAAAAUACUGAAGGACCCUCUCAGUUGAAAGAUGGCAAGGCACUGGCAUGGGGGGAAAGAACAGAUUCAAAAUAUAGAAAAUAAGAUCGACAGGACUUGAUUGAUUGGCUGAGGGGUUGAGAGGAGAGAAUGAGGGUUUAGGGUGACUCUCAGGCUCCUAGCUUGGGUGACUGAGUAUGUGGAAUGGAGUGUUCCUUCUCAAAACUCUGGAAUAGCCUUCAUCAAAUAUUCGUGGCCUGCAAAUCCUUUAUCCACAAUUCCUAAAUUUAAAAAAAUUAUGAAAACCAAAAGCUUGACCGGGUACUGUGGUUUAUGCCCUUAAUCUCAGCACUUUGGGAGGCUGAGGUGGGUGGAUCACCUGAGGUCAGGAGUCCAAGACAAGCCGGCCAACAUAGCGAAACCCCGUCUCUACUAAAAAUACAAAAAUUACCUGGGCGUGGUGGCGCAUGCCUGUAAUCCCAGCUACUCGGGAGGUGGAGGCACGAGAAUCGCUUGAACCUGGGAAGCAGAAGUUGCAGUGAGCCGAGAUCGCGCCAUCGCACUCCAGCCUGGGUGACAGAGUGAGACUCGGUCUCAAAACAAAACAAAACAAAACAAAACAGAAGAAAACAAAAAUUAACUGGGCGUGGUGGCGGGCGCCUGUAAUCCCAGCUACUCGGGAGGUGGAGGCAUGAGAAUCGCUUGAACCUGGGAAGCAGAAGUUGCAGCAAGCUGAGAUCACGCCAUUGCACUCUGGCCUGGGCGAUAAAAGCAAAACUCCGUCUCAAAAACAAAAACAAAAUCUUUUUCAUAACAUAUUUGACAAUAAAACCUAAUCUGAACUGAAUUUAUUUUGUGGCAGAACCUGACCUAAACUUACAUAAGGUUAUUUAUAGUUUUCACUUUUCCAUCUUUCACUUACCACAGUAUGAAGUCAUAUGUGUCAUUCCAGAAAUAUUAAUUUGUUUGAUUACUGGGUGCUGUCCUGAUGCAUUGGGAUUGUUGCUUUAUAUUUUGUAUAUGCACCAUACUAUCUUUCAAAAAUCCAAAAAAUUUUGAAACACAUUAACCAUCCAGAUUUCCCACCCCAUUUACUCAUCAGUGUUGGCCUGAGUUCUUUUGGCUAUUUGCAUAAAUCCAAUCCACCUGCAGAUAAUGAAUAUUCAUUGCAUUGUGUGUUAUAGACUCUGAAGGAGAUUCUUGUUGUUUUGAGCAGUGUCCUCAUUAAAACAAAGCUAAAAGCUUCUUGAAUGACUAUCUUGAAA
rnacentral:lncRNA from 10 species